UUGUUGGAGAUAGAUCAUGCAAAUGAAAUAUAUAAAAUGGCAGGGUCUGUGAUGAGCUAGCUGCUUUCUCGAUCAGCUAGUGCAUAAUCGAAUCUGGAGUGGUUCGGUGGGAAUGAGAUGUCCACUUUUUCUUCAACAAUUUCUCUGUAGAUUUUUUUUAUUUGCUAGCUGAUGUUGUUGGAGGGGGGAAAUAAUGCAACUGAAAAAUAUAAAAAUGGCAGGGACUGUGGACCAAGGUCCACCUGCACUGAGCCGAAAAUCGGCGCCUGACCGACACGCUCGGUUACUUAACCGCAGCCGGUUAUGCAGAGGCACUUGAUCGAUAUAUUACCCUUCUCCUUCUCAUCGUUAUCCUUCUCCCCCAAUUUGAUUCAGCUCCCGGAAUCCUAAAUUAGAAGGUGUUGUUUCGAAUAAGUCACUCGAUUGGCGGCGGCGGCGUAUUGGGUUUGGUUGCGAGUUCCUGCUGCGAGUAGCUUUGGGAUCUGCAGGAGAUCUAAUGUUGUCAUCUCGUAUCCGGAAUACCAGCUCUGAUGGGAAGCCAUUUAAAUUCACGUUUGCGUAUUACACUUAUUAUUCUGUUUCAGAUAUCAGGAGCUGUCGCUUUUGAGAAAAUUUUGAUCUACUCAUAUCAGUCUGCAUUGUUCCAAACAGUCCCCACUAUCCCCAAAACAAAAAUACCACCAAUUAAUUGACCUGGUUGGGCUGACCUGGCAGCAGCUGGAGCACCCAAAUCUGGGAACUUGACUUAUGGUUAGGCAUUGUUUGUCAUUUUAUAUGUAAUUGGAUGCACAAUUUUACGACAACUUGUUAGAGAGACUAAAUCUUCUCCUGAAAUCAAGUCAUCUAAUUCUUCUCCAUUGAUUUGUUCAUAGGCUGUUUUCAUACUGGGCUAUAAUUGCUUAUCAGUUUUUUAUUCUAGCUGUAAAUAUAGUUUAAUGCCUGCAUUGUAACAGCAGUUUAUUACUGCUAUAUAUGUGUACAAUUGUAAACAUCAAUACAAGGAAAAUUACUUUCUACAUGGUAUCAAAGCUCAAUAUGAAAACAGCCUAUGAACAAAUCAAUGGAGAAGAAUUAGAUGACUUGAUUUCAGGAGAAGAUUUAGUCUCUCUAACACAACUUCAUGUCAUUAUCUGCAUGACAUACAAGUUGGGAAUCGGUAUUUCAGGACGUCCUUUUAUUUUUUUUUAUUUUUUCUAAGUUUCUAUUUCUUUUGUAAUUAGUCAAGUUGUGUUAUUAUUUCGUGGGUUGAUAUCAUGCCUAUCUUAUAUAGAAGCUAUCACUUUUGAGAAAUUAAUGUAUUCGUGUCUUUCACUAUUGUU